rnacentral:lncRNA from 1 species
UGUAAUCUAGACAUUUGAAGCGGGCAAGCAGCUAAAAUAAACUUAAUAUGAAGCUCUACAAUUCUCUCAUUGGUUCUGACAUACUGCAAUUCCCUCGUUGGUCCUGACAUAUUGGAUCCUUCAUCUUGCAUCCUGGGUUAAGGUGGUUAUACUUUCCAAGAAAUUAAAAAAAUCUUCAUGCUUCAGUUGCUUGUUACCUGCCAUACAAUGUGUCAUCUCAACAAAUACCGGAGGACUAAUAGACACAGUCCUGGGCCAGUUGAAGUGGUUU